rnacentral:rRNA from 1 species
UACAGAGGGUGCGAGCGUUAAUCGGAAUUACUGGGCGUAAAGCGCGCGUAGGCGGCUUUUCAAGUCGAUUGUGAAAGCCCCUGGCUCAACUGGGGAAGUGCACCCGAAACUGGAUAGCUUGAGUGCGAAAGAGGGUCGCGGAAUUCCCGGUGUAGAGGUGAAAUUCGUAGAUAUCGGGAGGAACACCGGUGGCGAAGGCGGCGACCUGGGUCGACACUGACGCUGAGGCGCGAAAGCGUGGGGAGCAAACAGG